UACAGAGGUGGCAAGCGUUGUUCGGAAUUACUGGGCGUAAAGGGCGCGUAGGUGGCCUUUUGAGUCAGACGUGAAGUCCCCCGGCUUAACCUGGGAACUGCGUCUGAUACUGGAAGGCUUGAGUUCGGGAGAGGGAUGUGGAAUUCCAGGUGUAGCGGUGAAAUGCGUAGAUAUCUGGAGGAACACCGGUGGCGAAGGCGGCAUCCUGGACCGAAACUGACACUGAGGCGCGAAAGCCAGGGGAGCAAACGGG
rnacentral:rRNA from 1 species